AAAAAAAAAAGAAGGAAAUUUCCUACGUAGCAUAAAUAAUGUAAUUAUGUCUUUUGUUAUAACAGAAGUUGCCAACGGAGGUUGUCUCAGCAUUUUUAUUAGAGUUUUGUACUAUUUAUUGUGUUAACGUGGACAUGCAAGUGCUAACAAAGAGUUAUAAAACAAUCAGGUAUUUACAAUAUUUAUAAUACGAUAUAUAUCCACCUUCCCUAAUAUUGAAGAAAAAUAUUCAUUAUUAUUUGUAAUAAAACGUCUUCACUGCUCACGUAUAUCUCCCAUUAUUAAUAUUAGAUGGAAAUAUUUACUCUACCAAGACUCUUUGUGGGAGAGUUUCUACCACCGUUCAAUUAUAUAAAUUUG
rnacentral:lncRNA from 1 species